GAUGAACGCUGGCGGCGUGCUUAACACAUGCAAGUCGAACGGAAAGGCCCAAGCUUGCUUGGGUACUCGAGUGGCGAACGGGUGAGUAACACGUGGGUGUUCUGCCCUGCACUUCGGGAUAAGCCUGGGAAACUGGGUCUAAUACCGGAUAGGACGAUGGUUUGGAUGCCAUUGUGGAAAGUUUUUUCGGUGUGGGAUGAGCUCGCGGCCUAUCAGCUUGUUGGUGGGGUAAUGGCCUACCAAGGCGUCGACGGGUAGCCGGCCUGAGAGGGUGUACGGCCACAUUGGGACUGAGAUACGGCCCAGACUCCUACGGGAGGCAGCAGUGGGGAAUAUUGCACAAUGGGCGCAAGCCUGAUGCAGCGACGCCGCGUGGGGGAUGACGGCCUUCGGGUUGUAAACUCCUUUCGCUAGGGACGAAGCGUUUUUGUGACGGUACCUGGAGAAGAAGCACCGGCUAACUACGUG
rnacentral:rRNA from 1 species